rnacentral:rRNA from 1 species
UACGGAGGAUGCAAGCGUUAUCCGGAAUGAUUGGGCGUAAAGCGUCCGCAGGUGGCAAUGUAAGUCUGCUGUUAAAGAGUCUAGCUCAACUAGAUAAAAGCAGUGGAAACUACAUGGCUAGAGUGCGUUCGGGGCAGAGGGAAUUCCUGGUGUAGCGGUGAAAUGCGUAGAGAUUGGGAAGAACACCGGUGGCGAAAGCGCUCUGCUGGGCCGCAACUGACACUAAUGGACGAAAGCUAGGGGAGCGAAUGGG